rnacentral:rRNA from 1 species
GCUCCUACAUGGUUAUUGAUCAUGGCUCAGCAACUGGCCGCUGGUUUNACAGCCUAACACAUGCAAGCCGAACGGCAGCACAGGAGAGCUUGCUCUCUGGGUGGCGAGUGGCGGACGGGUGAGGAAUACAUCGGAAUCUACUCUGUCGUGGGGGAUAACGUAGGGAAACUUACGCUAAUACCGCAUACGACCUACGGGUGAAAGCAGGGGAUCUUCGGACCUUGCGCGAUUGAAUGAGCCGAUGUACGGAUUAGCUAGUUGGCGGGGUAAAGGCCCACCAAGGCGACGAUCCGUACUGGUCUGAAGGAUGAUCAGNCCACACUAGGAACUGAGACACGGUCCAGACUCCAUACAGGGAGGCAGCAGUCGGGAGAAUAUUCGGACAAUGGGCAGCAAGCCUUGAUCCAGACAA